UGGGGAAUAUUGGACAAUGGGCGAAAGCCUGAUCCAGCCAUGCCGCGUGUGUGAAGAAGGUCUUCGGAUUGUAAAGCACUUUAAGGUGGGAGGAAGGGCAGUAAGCGAAUACCUUGCUGUUUUGACGUUACCGACAGAAUAAGCACCGGCUAACUCUGUGCCAGCAGCCGCGGUAAUACAGAGGGUGCAAGCGUUAAUCGGAAUUACUGGGCGUAAAGCGCGCGUAGGUGGUUCGUUAAGUUGAAUGUGAAAGCCCCGGGCUCAACCUGGGAACUGCAUCCAAAACUGGCGAGCUAGAGUAGGGCAGAGGGUGGUGGAAUUUCCUGUGUAGCGGUGAAAUGCGUAGAUAUAGGAAGGAACACCAGGGGCGAAGGCGACCACCUGGGCUCAUACUGACACUGAGGUGCGAAAGCGUGGGGAGCAAACAGG
rnacentral:rRNA from 1 species